UUCAAAACCAUUACCUGAAGGGAAAAGAGACGAUUCUAAAGAAUCUAUGUCAAAUGUGUUCAGAAAUGAUGCAGCUGAUCAGCAGUUUAACCUUGAAGCUGCAAUUAAAAAUGUUGACAAAAUGUCCGAUGAGCUGAAGAAACUGAAUGUGGAAAGCCAGCUGCUGCUUUGUGACCUUAUUUUGAAUUUCAACCAUCCCAUGAAGACCAAAGAUUUAAGAGAAGCUGAAGAAAAAGCUUGGAGUUUGACAGAUUAAGUAAUACAAUCCAUUUUCAUGCAUUGUCUUCUAUUAAUAGUGAUUGAGUUUCAACUGUAAAGCGACAAUAUGGUUUCCUUCACUUGGUUUAUUUUUAUUUUAAAUUGGAAAUGUAGAAUGGAAAACAGUAUUGAUUUUGAGAGAGAUUUUAACCCAAAUUUCUCAAAUUAAAUAUACUCGGUCUGGAAAGAGUAGCAAAAUUAACUAGAAAGGUCAGGAAAUGGGGCAUGAAGUUCUUCACAUGUGCUUGUCUCCUUUUAAAUGAAGACAUAUUGGAAGAGUAACAAAAGAUUUAAAAUUACUUCACGUCAAGUUAUUGCUCUUGUCUCAGUCGUGUUCCAGGAAAUGGGAUGAGAAAUGUUCAAUAAAAGAGGAACUGCAAGUCAUCAUUUGAUAUGCCUUCCUUAUUCUAAAAAUGUUGCUGUGGAAGGAGGCCACAGUGCAAAUUACUUCUGGAAAAUCAAAAGUACUUUGAUCCUAGUUUCUAUAGUGACUUUCUAAUGCAUGUAGAUUCAAAAGAAAGCAAAAGUUAGUAGUUUAAAUACUCUGCUAUGAAGUCUUCUCAGCCCAAAAUUUGUGUAGCCAGUGUAUUCAUACAUUUUAAGUAGAAUUCAUAUUUAAUCAUACUUUACUUGUGAAAAUGUUUGAAUGUUGAGGUAUGUUUUUAGUCAUACAAAACAUGUUUAUCUGAAUAAUCAAAUCCAAAUUUACUCUGUAGAAAAAGAAUAUGUAGAGCUAUAAUUUGAUGUGUAGGUUUUACAUAUUAUUGCUCUUUUCAUAAGUUGAAAAAAAUGGUGAUUUAAAAACAAAUGAAACAAUUCCAUAGGAGGCAUUUCAGGGUUGUCAGAAUUUUCAAGACAGUGUAACAAAAUUACAACCUCCAGCUUACACAGUCAAUGGUAGUAUUGUGGGAUUGAUGUUAAUUUUAGCAUUUUUGGAAAGACAUAUUAAAACUGACUUUUCUUUCACAAGACUAGUAGCAGUUUUUAAAAAAAAUACAGUAGUAGAGAUAGGCUUUGUCAGCUGAA